GGGCAGGGAGAGCUGCAAUGGCUCAUCUUUCAGGACAUGCUGCAAAGGGCCUUUGAAGUCAUCCGCCCUGCUCUUGGCACCUUGCGCCUGGAGCUGAGCUCUUCCAAAAAUGACCCCUGCGCAUUCCGUGGUGCGGCCGCCCAGCCCAGGCAGUCGCGGUCCAGAGCAGGGGAAGCAGCAGCGCGGCCGGCAGCUGGGAGAGCCGAGGCCCCGAGGGAGGACCCUGCCUCAAGCCAAGCAACCAGGCCCUGCGGCCCUCUCCCCACCGCCGUGCGGCCCUGGCGCAGGGAACCGGGACGGGGCUUUCCGGCCUUGAAGGGCACACUUACUCCACCAAACAUUCCCAUCGUCGGCUGAUGGAGGGCCUCGAGCUGGGCGCUGUGGUAUAUGCCCUUCUAGAGAGACCUGCCAGAC
rnacentral:lncRNA from 1 species